CCAGACUCCUACGGGAGGCAGCAGUGAGGAAUAUUGGUCAAUGGGCGGGAGCCUGAACCAGCCAAGCCGCGUGAGGGAAGAAGGUACAGCGUAUCGUAAACCUCUUUUGUCAGGGAGCAACGCCGGCUACGUGUAGCCGGACUGAGAGUACCUGAAGAAAAAGCAUCGGCUAACUCCGUGCCAGCAGCCGCGGUAAUACGGAGGAUGCGAGCGUUAUCCGGAUUUAUUGGGUUUAAAGGGUGCGUAGGCGGAAUGCCAAGUCGGCGGUAAAACCGCGGGGCUCAACCCCGACAAGCCGUUGAAACUGGCUUGCUAGAGUGGGCGAGAAGUAUGCGGAAUGCGUGGUGUAGCGGUGAAAUGCAUAGAUAUCACGCAGAACUCCGAUUGCGAAGGCAGCAUACCGGCGCCCAACUGACGCUCAGGCACGAAAGCGUGGGUAUCGAACAGGAUUAGAUACCCUGGUAC
rnacentral:rRNA from 1 species